UACGUAGGGUGCAAGCGUUGUCCGGAAUUAUUGGGCGUAAAGAGCUCGUAGGCGGUCUGUCGCGUCUGCUGUGAAAACUCGGGGCUUAACCCCGGGCCUGCAGUGGGUACGGGCAGACUAGAGUGCGGUAGGGGAGACUGGAAUUCCUGGUGUAGCGGUGAAAUGCGCAGAUAUCAGGAAGAACACCCGUGGCGAAAGCGGCUCUCUGGAACGGUACUGACGCUGAGACGCGAAAGCGUGGGGAGCGAACAGG
rnacentral:rRNA from 1 species